UCGUAUGGUUCAAAGAAGUCCUUCCCAAAGGAUUGUUCCCGAAGAAAUGGACGAGAAGCCUAUGAAAAUAUUUUCUCUUUCUUUGAACCAAAUGAUUAUCUUUUUGGUUCUUUUGUGUCGUCUGCACAUUGUAAUAAAAAUGAAAAAGAAGAAAAAGAAAAAGAAAGUGAAAAAGAAAAAGAAAUUGAAAAAGAAAAAGAAACC
rnacentral:lncRNA from 1 species